rnacentral:rRNA from 1 species
GAUGAACGCUGGCGGCGUGCCUAAUACAUGCAAGUCGAACGGAAAGGCCCUGCUUUUGUGGGGCGCUCGAUUGGCGAGCGGGUGAGUGACACGCGUGUAUCCUCUCCUUGUCUUUGUGAUAACUUCACGAAACUGGGGCUCAUAUCCGAUAGGAUCUAUUGCAGCACAGUGGUGGUUGGAAAAAUUCGGCGGUUCGGGCUGUUAUCGCGGCUUAUCCGCUUGUUUGGGUGGUAGUGGCUGUCCAAGGGUUUGACGGGUAGCCGGCCUGGGAGGGUGACCGGCGACAUUGGGACUGAGAUACGGCGCAGACUGCUACGGGAGGCAGCAGUGGGGAAUAUUGCGCAGUGGGCGGAAGCCUGAUGCAGCAGCGCCGCGUGCGGGAUGACGGCCUUCGAGUUGUAAACAGCUUUCGCCUGUGACGAAGCGUGAGUGACGGUAAUGGGUAAAGAAGCACCGGCUAACUACGUG